GCACCAGGCGUCUGUUAAGUCAGAUGUGAAAUCCCCGGGCUUAACCUGGGAACUGCAUUUGAAACUGGCAGGCUUGAGUCUUGUAGAGGGGGGUAGAAUUCCAGGUGUAGCGGUGAAAUGCGUAGAGAUCUGGAGGAAUACCGGUGGCGAAGGCGGCCCCCUGGACAAAGACUGACGCUCAGGUGCGAAACGUGGGGAGCAAACAGGAUUAGAUACCCUGGUAGUCCACGCCGUAAACGAUGUCGACUUGGAGGUUGUUCCCUUGAGGAGUGGCUUCCGGAGCUAACGCGUUAAGUCGACCGCCUGGGGAGUACGGCCGCAAGUUAAAACUCAAAUGAAUUGACGGGGGCCCGCACAAGCGUGGAGCAUGUGGUUUAAUUCGAUGCAACCAAGAACCUUACCUACNCUUGACAUCCACGGAAUUUGGCAGAGAUGCGGAGUGCCUUCGGGAACCGUGAGACAGGUGCUGCAUGGCUGUCGUCAGCUCGUGUUGUGAAAUGUUGGGUUAAGUNCCGCAACGAGCNCAACCCUUAUNCUUUGUUGCCAGCGAUUCGGUCGGGAACUCAAAGGAGACUNCCGGUGAUAAACCGAGGAAGGUNGGGAUGACNUCAACUCAUCAUGGCCCUUACGAGUAGGGCUACACACGUGCUACAAUGGNGCAUACAAAGAGAAGCGACCUCGCGAGAGNAAGCGGACCUCACAAGUGNGUCGUAGUCCGGAUCGGAGUCUGCAACUCGACUCCGUGAAGUCGGAAUCGCUAGUAAUCGUGGAUCAGAAUGCCACCGGUGAAUACGU
rnacentral:rRNA from 1 species